CGGUAACAUUGGUGCUUGCACCAGAUGACGAGUGGCGCACGGGUGCGUAACGCGUAUGCAACCUACCUUUUACUAGAGUAUAGCCCAGAGAAAUUUGGAUUAAUCCUCUAUAAUAUCUUUUAAUUUCAUGAUUUUAAGAUUAAAGUUUUAACGGUAAAAGAUGGGCAUGCGUCCCAUUAGUUUGUAGGUGAGGUAACGGCUCACCUAGACUACGAUAGGUAGGGGCCCUGAGAGGGGGAUCCCCCACACUGGUACUGAGACACGGACCAGACUCCUACGGGAGGCAGCAGUAAGGAAUAUUGGACAAUGGACGAAAGUCUGAUCCAGCCAUGCCGCGUGCAGGAUGACAGCCCUACGGGUUGUAAACUGCUUUUAUACAGGAAGAAACACUCCGACGUGUCGGAGCUUGACGGUACUGUAAGAAUAAGGAUCGGCUAACUCCGUGCCAGCAGCCGCGGUAAUACGGAGGAUCCAAGCGUUAUCCGGAAUCAUUGGGUUUAAAGGGUCCGCAGGCUGUUUUUUAAGUCAGAGGUGAAAUCCUGCAGCUCAACUGUAGAACUGCCUUUGAUACUGGAAAACUUGAGUUAUUGUGAAGUGGUUAGAAUGUGUGGUGUAGCGGUGAAAUGCAUAGAUAUCACACAGAAUACCGAUUGCGAAGGCAGAUCACUAACAAUAUACUGACGCUCAUGGACGAAAGCGUGGGGAGCGAACAGGAUUAGAUACCCUGGUAGUCCACGCCGUAAACGAUGGAUACUAGCUGUUCGUCUAACAUUGGUUAGAUGAGUGGCUAAGCGAAAGUGAUAAGUAUCCCACCUGGGGGAGUACGGUCGCAAGACUGAAACUCAAAGGAAUUGACGGGGGCCCGCACAAGCGGUGGAGCAUGUGGUUUAAUUCGAUGAUACGCGAGGAACCUUACCAGGGCUUAAAUGUAGUGGGACAGGUCUAGAGAUAGACCCUUCUUCGGACUCAUUACAAGGUGCUGCAUGGUUGUCGUCAGCUCGUGCCGUGAGGUGUCAGGUUAAGUCCUAUAACGAGC
rnacentral:rRNA from 1 species